AUUUUGGUCCUGUUUGCAGUGCCAUAUCUGGCAUGAAGUUGGGACCAUAUACUUUGUGCAGUAUCAGAAUACUGCACACUUUCAGCAAUUUGUGGGGAGAGGGAGGCAGUUAACCAAGAAAUCACCAUGUUAUUGCACCUAUCCUAUAACCUUUGUUGAGCCACAUUAGUGGCUGGUCGGGAGCACGUGCCAUCAACAAAACCAAUCUUAUUUUUAGCAGAUAAUACAACAAACAUUUUUCUCCUCCAACCCCAUAACCACUUCCCGAGAAGGGAGUGGGAACAAGAGAGCCCCCAGGGACAUCAGAGGAGUAUACAAAAAGAGGACUUGUAGAGUCUACCGAGGAGGAGGUACCAGUAUUCGUAGUAGAAGUCAUGAUUUAUGCACCAGUUUGAAAAGAAAAACAGUUUCGACAAGCAAAAUAUCACGAAACCAGAUAUUCACACACGAAGCCAAAUAAUCACACACAAAGUAUACAAUACUCAAGAGAAGUACAGAGUUACCCUCCUUCUUCGCGACCGGAGAAGAUCGGCCUUCAAUCAAUCAGAGAAAGCCCUAGGUACAAAACCCUAGGUGCAACCAUUGCAAACCUUACUGGAAAUAUAGUCAGGGAUGUCGGACCCUAGGUACAAACCCUAGGUGCAACCGUUGCAAACCUUAUUGGAAAUAUGGUCAGGGAUGUCGUAAAGGCACCCUAAACAUCCACUGAGUGAAGAUCGAGCCACCGGAUAGCAGUAAAAAGCUAGGUUAAACCACCAGAAACCCUAGAAGCCGAUAGGUCACCGAAAAAUCACCCAAAAAUCA
rnacentral:lncRNA from 1 species